CAAAGGUUUGGUCCUGACUUUACUAACAACUUUAUCUAAACUUACACAUGCAAGUAUCCGCACCCCUGUGAGAAUGCCCCACAGUUCCCUGCCCGGGAACAAGGAGCUGGUAUCAGGCACAAUCUCCUUGUUUAGCCCAUGACACCUUGCUUAGCCACACCCUCAAGGGAACUCAGCAGUGAUAAACAUUAAGCCAUAAGUGAAAACUUGACUUAGUCAAAGCUAAGAGGGUCGGUAAAACUCGUGCCAGCCACCGCGGUUAUACGAGGGACCCAAGUUGUUAGACACCGGCGUAAAGAGUGGUUAGGUACUAUUACUUACUAAAGCCGAACACCUCAAAGCUGUUAUACGCACCUGAAGAUAGGAAGUUCAACCACGAAAGUGGCUUUAUACUUACUGAACCCACGAAAGCUAAGACACAAACUGGGAUUAGAUACCCCACUAUGCCUAGCCUUAAACAUUGAUGACAUCCUACAACUGUCAUCCGCCCGGGUACUACGAGCAUCAGCUUAAAACCCAAAGGACUUGGCGGUGCUUUAGACCCACUAGAGGAGCCUGUUCUAGAACCGAUAACCCCCGUUCAACCUCACCCUUCCUUGUUUUCCCCGCCUAUAUACCACCGUCGUCAGCUUACCCUGUGAAGGUUAAAACAGUAAGCAAAAUUGGCAUAGCCCAAAACGUCAGGUCGAGGUGUAGCGUAUGGAAGGGGAAGAAAUGGGCUACAUUCCCUAAUUCAGCGCAUACGGACGACACACUGAAAUACGUAUCCGAAGGAGGAUUUAGCAGUAACAGAAA
rnacentral:rRNA from 1 species